AGUAAAGUGGCGACCGGGUGAGUAACACGUGACUAACCUACCUUCGAGUGGGGGAUAACCUCGGGAAACCGGGGCUAAUACCGCAUAACAUCUUUGAAGUGGAAAUUUCGGAGAUCAAAGGAGCAAUUCGCUGGAAGAGGGGGUCGCGGCUGAUUAGCUAGUUGGCGGGGUAACGGCCCACCAAGGCUUAGAUCGGUAGCCGGCCUGAGAGGGCGCACGGCCACACUGGAACUGAAACACGGUCCAG
rnacentral:rRNA from 1 species